UACGAAGGGGGCUAGCGUUGCUCGGAAUGACUGGGCGUAAAGGGCGCGUAGGCGGAUGGCACAGUCAGAUGUGAAAUUCCCGGGCUUAACCUGGGGGCUGCAUUUGAUACGUGUUGUCUGGAGUGAGGAAGAGGGUCGUGGAAUUCCCAGUGUAGAGGUGAAAUUCGUAGAUAUUGGGAAGAACACCGGUGGCGAAGGCGGCGACCUGGUCCUUGACUGACGCUGAGGCGCGAAAGCGUGGGGAGCAAACAGG
rnacentral:rRNA from 1 species